ACCGUCUUUGUCAGGGGGUGAGCAAUUAUCCAAUGAACGCAAAGUGAGGGUAAUUCUGCUGACACCUGCACCAACACUUUACCGCGUCGCCUGCCGCUAGCCGGUGGGUCGGGCGCAAUUUUUGGGACC
rfam:Branchiostoma floridae genomic scaffold BRAFLscaffold_195, whole genome shotgun sequence.